UCAGCCUCUUAAUGCUUGAAUGGACUUGC
rnacentral:piRNA from 1 species